rnacentral:lncRNA from 1 species
CUCAUUGUGUUACAUGUUUUAGGAUAUUAACUUUGUAUUAAUUCUCUAACAUGUCUGACACAUACAUUGUUAUUGACCAACCUCAGAUAAGUAUGGCUUGUACAUAAUCCUACUUAUGACUGCUUAACAUAGUACUAAAUUGACCCACCAUAAUUAAUUGACCACUAACUCCUAACCUUACUUUAUGCACUUUACUUUAUUG